ACGAUUAAGACUUCCUUCGGGGAGUGUAUAAAGUGGCGCACGGGUGAGUAACACGUAGGUAAUGUACCGUAGGGUGGGGAAUAACUUAGGGAAACUUAAGCUAAUACCGCAUAAUGCAGCGGCUCGACAUCGAGACAGUUGUUAAAGGAGCAAUCCGCCUUAUGAGCAGCCUGCGGCAGAUUAGCUAGUUGGUAAGGUAAUGGCUUACCAAGGCUACGAUCUGUAACCGACCUGAGAGGGUGGUCGGUCACACUGACACUGAAUAACGGGUCAGACUCCUACGGGAGGCAGCAGUCGGGAAUUUUGGGCAAUGGGCGAAAGCCUGACCCAGCAACGCCGCGUGAAGGAUGAAGUAUUUCGGUAUGUAAACUUCGUAAGAAUAGGAAGAAUAAAUGACGGUACUAUUUGUAAGGUCCGGCUAACUACGUGCCAGCAGCCGCGGUAAUACGUAGGGACCAAGCGUUGUUCGGAUUUACUGGGCGUAAAGGGCGCGUAGGCGGCGUGGUAAGUCAGCUGUGAAAUCUCCGAGCUUAACUCGGAACGGUCAGCUGAUACUGCUGUGCUAGAGUACAGAAGGGGCAAUCGGAAUUCUUGGUGUAGCGGUGAAAUGCGUAGAUAUCAAGAGGAACACCUGAGGUGAAGACGGGUUGCUGGGCUGAUACUGACGCUGAGGCGCGAAAGCUAGGGUAGCAAACGGGAUUAGAUACCCCGGUAGUCCUAGCCCUAAACGAUGAAUGCUUGGUGUCUGGAGUUUUAAAUCUCUGGG
rnacentral:rRNA from 1 species